UACGUAGGUGGCAAGCGUUGUCCGGAUUUACUGGGCGUAAAGGAUGCGUAGGCGGACAUUUAAGUCAGAUGUGAAAUACCCGAGCUUAACUUGGGUGCUGCAUUUGAAACUGGGUGUCUAGAGUGCAGGAGAGGUAAGUGGAAUUCCUAGUGUAGCGGUGAAAUGCGUAGAGAUUAGGAAGAACACCAGUGGCGAAGGCGACUUACUGGACUGUAACUGACGCUGAGGUGCGAAAGCGUGGGGAGCAAACAGG
rnacentral:rRNA from 1 species